UGCCUAACACAUGCAAGUCGAACGAAGCACCUUACCGGAUUCUUCGGAUGAAAGUUUGGUGACUGAGUGGCGGACGGGUGAGUAACGCGUGGGUAACCUGCCCUGUACAGGGGGAUAACAGCUGGAAACGGCUGCUAAUACCGCAUAAGCGCACGAGGAGACAUCUCCUAGUGUGAAAAACUCCGGUGGUACAGGAUGGGCCCGCGUCUGAUUAGCUGGUUGGCAGGGUAACGGCCUACCAAGGCAACGAUCAGUAGCCGGUCUGAGAGGAUGAACGGCCACAUUGGAACUGAGACACGGUCCAAACUCCUACGGGAGGCAGCAGUGGGGAAUAUUGCACAAUGGGGGAAACCCUGAUGCAGCAACGCCGCGUGAGUGAAGAAGUAUUUCGGUAUGUAAAGCUCUAUCAGCAGGGAAGAUAAUGACGGUACCUGACUAAGAAGCUCCGGCUAAAUACGUGCCAGCAGCCGCGGUAAUACGUAUGGAGCAAGCGUUAUCCGGAUUUACUGGGUGUAAAGGGUGCGUAGGUGGCAGUGCAAGUCAGAUGUGAAAGGCCGGGGCUCAACCCCGGAGCUGCAUUUGAAACUGCAUAGCUGGAGUACAGGAGAGGCAGGCGGAAUUCCUAGUGUAGCGGUGAAAUGCGUAGAUAUUAGGAGGAACACCAGUGGCGAAGGCGGCCUGCU
rnacentral:rRNA from 1 species